UUUCUUGCAUUGACCCUACCCAGCUCUUCACAUUAUAUAAGCUUGCACAUGGUUAUGAAACCACACAACCUUCCGUGCUGCCAGCACAGCCUGAAGCAGGGAAGAAGCCCUUGUGAUUAUUCUCCAUGCAUCUGUGUGUCUCUUGUGGGUGAAACCACUGGGUUUCCUUGGAAAGAUUUAAUGAAAAGCCUCCUAAACCUUCUCAUCACCCAGCAGCAUGAAGGGGUAGCAGCCUGUCACAGGACCCUGUCUGUAGGUUCAGUGCUGCAGGAACCCCAUGGCCACAGCCUCAGUCAGGGGUCUCCUCAUACCCCUGAAACUCCAGCCUGUCCCUGGCCACGUGGCAGGGUGCCUGCUUUGUCCUCGCUCAUCUCUGCACCUGCACCCUGCUAACACGUGUCCACAACGGACAAACGAGAACGAAGCGUUAGCUCGGCGUUUCUUCAUUUUGUAGCUAGGGAGACUCCUGGGUUUUCUCCCUAAGGACGGUUCUGGUGCAGCAGCCUUCCUCUCUUGCUGGCACCAGGGCAGAGGCUCUGGGAUGCUCCCAGGCAGCCAUUGGGGCUCUUGCAAACACAGAGAUGUUUUUAGAAGGUUUUACCUUUCAGCCUAACCGAAAUGGUAUACUCGGACACCCCUCGUACUCCUACGGUCCCUCGUAGCAGCAAGGAGCAAGGUGUUGCACGCUGGCCCCACAGCAGCCCCCAGCGGUCUGAGUUCCCCAGUGCAGUACAACCCGACCCACCGCAGCCACCUGUGGCCCGCUCCUCGGCGGCCAUUUUCCUGCAGCCACCUGUGCUCCUCAAUGCAAUGCACCUGGAGCGCCGGGUCGGCCAUCUUGUGCGGUGCUAAGUGAGGCUGGCAGGGAUCGUCUGCUCGUCUGGCGGCUGAGCAUCGUGCACGGAAAGCAAAAUUACACCAGGUUUCAGCUUUGCCCUUGUAAGCAGGAAAGUACCAGCUUACUUGUCUCUCCUAUUAUAAACUGAACUGAUUUCAACUUUGGCUUGUGAUGCCUCUUUUUAAUGAAGUAGUGGACUCAGCUCUUGUGGGCAAAUCAUCAUUGAUAAGGAGAGAAAAAGAGACACCAUAUGUGAAUUUUCAACUGUCAUCACAGAGAAGAAUUUCCAUCAGUACCUUAAACAGAAGUUGACUGGAAGGAAGCCACAGCAGUAUGUUAAGAGUUUUCAGUGGGGCAGGUCUGAAAGACACAACAAAAAAUGUUUCAUUUGGAAAACAUCACAAGGACCUGCUGUAGGAUUGCCAAAGUAAACUGUUUCAUUCUAGAGGAGGUCGAAGUGAAACAUCUGUCAGUCUGGUAAUCUUUGUGUCCUUCCACUGAAAAAUGGAGCCGAUGGGAAGGAACAGUUCAGCAAGCAAAGAAAAGGAAAUUCUCCCUCUUCUCUUAACUAUUUCUGAAAACUGAGCCAUCAUACUGAAGAGCCUGAUUUGCAGACUUAGUGGGAAUUACGCCUGAGCCAGGUAGCAAGAAAAGUUCCAUGGAAGACAACAUCCAAGUCAAACAAUUUCUGUAGGUCUGGGUUUGAAAUCCUCACCCUGCAAGUCUUAACUUCAGCCAUCAGCUAACUCAGUUUCUGGUCUUAUUAAAACAAGAUGAGAAGAAGAAAAACAGCCAGGCACCUCCCUCGCACUGCUGCAAUGUAAGUUAAUUCUAGUACUGUGAACACCCUAGGGUUACAUUCAUGUAACUUAAAUACCAAUAAGGGAAAUAAAAAAGCCUACAAUUAGUAAAUAGCUUUUUCUAAAAAAAAGGUGAUUUUAUUGAGUUUUAAUAUACAGCUUUAAUAUGUUAGGGUAAUCAUACAAGAUCUCUCGUGUUCAAUUUACACAUUACAAUACAGA